AGCGAACGCUGGCGGCAGGCCUAACACAUGCAAGUCGAACGAACCUUUCGGGGUUAGUGGCGGACGGGUGAGUAACACGUGGGAACGUGCCUUUAGGUUCGGAAUAACUCAGGGAAACUUGUGCUAAUACCGAAUGUGCCCUUCGGGGGAAAGAUUAAUCGCCUUUAGAGCGGCCCGCGUCUGAUUAGCUAGUUGGUUGAGGUAAUGGCUCACCAAGGCGACGAUCAGUAGCUGGUCUGAGAGGAUGAUCAGCCACAUUGGGACUGAGACACGGCCCAGACUGCUACGGGAGGGAGCCGGAGGGAAGCUUCGGGAAUGGACGGAAGUCUGACCGAGCAACGCCGAGGGAGUGAAGAAGGUUGUCGGGUCGUAAAGCUCUGUUGUAAGAGAAGAACGAGUGUGAGAGUGGAAAGUUCACACUGUGACGGUAUCUGACCAGAAAGGGCCGGCUAACUACGUG
rnacentral:rRNA from 1 species